GGCGCGAAAACUUUACAAUGCUGGCAACAGCGAUAAGGGAACCUCGAGUGCCAGGUUACAAAUCUGGCUGUCGAGACGCCUAAAAAGCAUUUCAUAGCAAGGGCCGGGCAAGACCGGUGCCAGCCGCCGCGGUAACACCGGCGGCUCGAGUGGUAACCGUUAUUAUUGGGUCUAAAGGGUCUGUAGCCGGCCGGAUAAGUCUCUUGAGAAAUCUGGCAGCUUAACUGUCAGGCUUUCAGGAGAUACUGUCUGGCUCGAGGCCGGGAGAGGUGAGAGGUACUUCAGGGGUAGGGGUGAAAUCUUGUAAUCCUUGAAGGACCACCAGUGGCGAAGGCGUCUCACCAGAACGGAACUGACGGCAAGGGACGAAAGCUAGGGGCACGAACCG
rnacentral:rRNA from 1 species